rnacentral:rRNA from 1 species
AACGAACGCUGGCGGCAGGCCUAACACAUGCAAGUCGAACGCUCGUAGCAAUACGGGAGUGGCAGACGGGUGAGUAACACGUGGGAACCUUCCCUAUGGUUCGGAAUAGCUCAGGGAAACUUGGGGUAAUACCGGAUAAGCCCUUCGGGGGAAAGAUUUAAUGCCAUUGGAUGGGCCCGCGUCGGAUUAGCUAGGUGGUGGGGUAACGGCCUACCAAGGCCACGAUCCGUAGCUGGUCUGAGAGGAUGACCAGCCACACUGGGACUGAGACACGGCCCAGACUCCUACGGGAGGCAGCAGUGGGGAAUAUUGGACAAUGGGCGCAAGCCUGAUCCAGCCAUGCCGCGUGAGUGACGAAGGUCUUCGGAUUGUAAAGCUCUUUUGGCGGGGACGAUAAUGACGGUACCCGCAGAAUAAGCCCCGGCUAACUUCGUGCCAGCCGCCGCGGUAA